rnacentral:tRNA from 1 species
GGUGCCAUAGCCAAGUGGUAAGGCAUAGGUCUGCAAAAUCUACAUUCCCCGGUUCAAAUCCGGGUGGCACCUCCA